AACCAGGAGAGAGAGAGAGAGGGAGAGAGAGAGAGAGAAAUCAUCCUUAUCUGAAAUCUGCUUGACUGCUUGCAGAAGACAUUUGAGAACACCACAGCCAACACAGAGAGCCAUGGACUGAGGACCCUUCCAGAUGAAGCCUUCUGCAUAUGUCCAGCACUGUACACCUGGAAGCCCCCACCAGCCAUUCAUGGUACACUUAGCACAGACAACAGCGACCAUAAUAUGCUAGUAGGUACUUCUUUCCAGAGGUACUACUCUCCAGUUAAUUUUCAUUUCCCGUUACAGUCACUGUCCUGGUUGCCAGGGGAAGCUCAGACUCGAAGUACUCUUCAGCAAUCAAGCAUUGUGCACAGACGGAACCAUUUAUUUAUAUUAGCCCACCUAGUGUGUUAAGCAAUAUGAAUGUGCAAUCUUUCACUUGCUUCCUCUCUGUGAUGCAUUAAAGACACAUUUCAUCCUG